GACGAACGCUGGCGGCGUGCUUAACACAUGCAAGUCGAACGGAAAGGCCCUGUUUUUGGGGGGUGCUCGAGUGGCGAACGGGUGAGUAACACGUGAGUAACCUGCCCUUGACUAUGGGAUAACUUCAGGAAACUGGGGCUAAUACCGGAUAGGAGCUCCUACUGCAUGGUGGGGGUUGGAAAGGUUCGGCGGUUGGGGAUGGACUCGCGGCUUAUCAGCUUGUUGGUGGGGUAGUGGCUUACCAAGGCUUUGACGGGUAGCCGGCCUGAGAGGGUGACCGGCCACAUUGGGACUGAGAUACGGCCCAGACUCCUACGGGAGGCAGCAGUGGGGAAUAUUGCACAAUGGGCGGAAGCCUGAUGCAGCAACGCCGCGUGCUGGAUGACGGCCUUCGGGUUGUAAACCGCUUUCGCCUGUGACGAAGCGUGAGUGACGGUAAUGGGUAAAGAAGCACCGGCUAACUACGUG
rnacentral:rRNA from 1 species